UGGGGAAUCUUGCGCAAUGGGCGAAAGCCUGACGCAGCAACGCCGCGUGGGGGACGAAGGCUCUCGGGUUGUAAACCCCUUUCAGCAGGAACGAAAUUGACGGUACCUGCAGAAGAAGCCCCGGCCAACUACGUGCCAGCAGCCGCGGUAAUACGUAGGGGGCGAGCGUUGUCCGGAUUCAUUGGGCGUAAAGAGCUCGUAGGCGGUUUGGUAAGUCGGGUGUGAAAACCCCAGGCUCAACCUGGGGACGCCACCUGAUACUGCCAUGACUUGAGUCUGGUAGGGGAUCACGGAAUUCCUGGUGUAGCGGUGAAAUGCGCAGAUAUCAGGAGGAACACCGGUGGCGAAGGCGGUGAUCUGGGCCAGUACUGACGCUGAGGAGCGAAAGCGUGGGUAGCAAACAGGAUUAGAUACCCCCGUAGUCC
rnacentral:rRNA from 1 species